GGAGAAUUAAAAACAAAGCAAUGCAUACCCAGAAUCUUAUAUUCACUCUGUCUCCAUCUCUCUGUCCUGUGGAUUCUAGUGCCCGCCUUCCUGUUAGAUGAAAGGGAGAGAAUAAAUAUAUUAAAUGCAGAGGGCACCAGAAAACUAAUGGAUCAUCCUCAGCACAAAUUUUAAAUUGAAAAAAAAAUUUUUUUUUUGAGACAGGGUUUCUCUGUAUAGCCCUGGCUGUCCUGGAACUCACUUUGUAGACCAGGCUGGCCUCGAACUCAGAAAUCUGCCUGCCUCUGCCUCCUGAGUGCUGGGAUUAAAGGCAUGUGCCACCAUGCCUGGCGAAGAUUCUACAUCGCCAUGGUUUUCUCAGACUCUUACCUCAACCUCUCAAAUGGAUGAAACCACAUAUAUAAGAAUACAUAUAUGCUUAACCAUGUAUGAAAUAAAAAUCUUGGAGUAAAUUAGAGUCCUACUAUAUUGGACUUGGAGGCUGUUUUCUAUUUAUGAUAACUUUAUUGAGAUAUAAUUAUAUACCACACAGUCUUAGCCAUUUGAAGCAUAUAAUUAAGUGUAGUCAGAGGUGUGCAACUAUCACCACAACAUAUUUUAGAAUACUUUUAUCAUGUCAGAAAGAAAUCGUGCCUCAUUAGUGUGUGCUGUUCAGUCUCCCAACUUUCUCAUCCCUAGGCAAACUGUGUCCCUUCUUGCUCUAUAGAUUUGCCCAUUUGGGAUAUUUUAUGCAAACAGAAUUGUAAUGUAUAUGCCUCGUGUGAUUGGCCUCUUUUACAAAAUAUGUUUUUAAGGUUUAUCCAUAUUAUAGUAUGUCCUGGUAUGGUAUUCCUUUGUAUGAUCAAAUAGUAUUCUAACACACUAUAAUUUAUUGUGCCACUAGUUGAUGGAUAUUUGGGCUGUUUGUACUCUGAGGCUAUUAUUAAUAAUGCUUUUAUGAUUAUUCAUGCACAGGAUUUUAUGUAGACAUGUUUUGUCUGUGUGUAUAUUCCUGGGAGUGGAAUUGCUGUAUCAUAUGAUAAUUCUGUGUUUAAUCCUUUGAGGAACUUCUGGAAUAUUUUCCAAAGUAGCUUCACAAGCAUUGUGCAGUCCCACCCACAGGGUAUGCGAGAGGCCCUGAGUUCCUUACAAGCCUGCGUAGUAUUUCAUAUUGCUAUUUGAUUAUUUGUGCUAAUGAGUAUGAAACAGAAUCUCAUUAUUAUUUUAAUUUGCAUUCUUGUGUUUGCUGAUGAUACUAAACAUCUUUACAUGUGCUUAUUAUUAGCACAUGUAGUAUCACUUGAGAAAUGUGUGCUUAGCUCUUUUUUUUUAAAGAUUUAUUUUUUAUUAUUAUAUGUAAGUACACUGUAGCUGUCUUUAGACAUCCUAGAAGAGGGGGUCAGAUCUCAUUACGGAUGGUUGCAAGCCACCAUGUAGUUGCUGGGAUUUGAACUUAGGAUCUUCAGAAGAGCAGUCAGUGCUCUCAACCGCUGAGCCAUCUUUAGCUCUUUUACCCAGAGUUGUUUACAAAUUCUUAAUGCAGUCCUUCAUUAGGUAUAUGACUUACAAAUAUUUUCUUCAUUUAAAAAGUUCGCUAAGCAAUGAUGGGAUAUACCUUUAAUCCCAGCACUCAGGGGCCAGAGGCAGGCAGAUCUCUGUGAGUUCAAGGCCAGCCUGGUCUACAGAGUGAGUUCUAGAUUUCACAGAGAAAACCUACCU
rnacentral:lncRNA from 1 species